GUAUUCAGCCUAGAUAUUUUAAAGGCACCAGAUCUCAUCUGAUCUUGGAAGCUAAGCAGGGUCAGUCCUGGUUAGUACUUUGGUAGGAGACUGCCAACAGUACCAAGUGCUGCAGGCU
rnacentral:rRNA from 1 species